rnacentral:rRNA from 1 species
CAGUAGCCGCGGGAAUACGAAGGGGGCUAGCGUUGCUCGGAAUCACUGGGCGUAAAGGGUGCGUAGGCGGGUCUUUAAGUCAGGGGUGAAAUCCUGGAGCUCAACUCCAGAACUGCCUUUGAUACUGAAGAUCUUGAGUUCGGGAGAGGUGAGUGGAACUGCGAGUGUAGAGGUGAAAUUCGUAGAUAUUCGCAAGAACACCAGUGGCGAAGGCGGCUCACUGGCCCGAUACUGACGCUGAGGCACGAAAGCGUGGGGAGCAAACAGGAUUAGAUACCCCUGUAGUCCCUGUCUCUUAUAC